CAAGUUUUACAAGCAAUGCAGUUAACCGCCCUAUAAUAAUUUUUAAACUGAGCACUGUUAGAUUACAAGACAAACGCGUUGGUUUCUGUCCACUCGAACACAUGUAGCUGGUAAUUUGCUCCGAUUAGUGCAGAUUAACUGAGGACUCUCCAUAUCACGUAUGAUAAAUAGGCUCUCAUCUUUGUUUACUUGUCAGGAUUACGGUAUCCACCGACGGUUUUGAUCUCAAAGUAUGGCUCAAUGCUCCGAAUGCGGAAAAAUGUCGAAGACCAGAGCUGGAUUAUUGCGCCACAUUAGGGGACACGCUAACUCUGGAAACUAUAUAUGCUGUGAGAAAGCAUUUCAGGAUGCCUACAAUCUUAGAAGGCUUCAACGAACAAAUCACCCCAAUGUCACGUGUGUGUACAGUGCGGCAGGAGCUUUGCGGACAAGUACCUACUCGUGGCUAGAGAGAAAAGUGCAAAAAAGAGGGAUUGGUGAUAUGUUACCAGUGUGGGUUGGCAGUUAGGAGUGAGAAUGACCUCAGAGAGCACGUCGAUACCCACAUGCAUGACAAGUGUUACAGUAGUGAGGAGUGUUUCAAAACGUACAAACGCAAAACAAACCUUUCUCGAUACGUGAGGACUUCACAUAAAUCCGUGAAUACUGAUUAAAAAUCAUAAUGGUUUACAGUUUGUCUGUGUAACUUCAUUAUCGUUUUACGUUAUUUAAUUCGUUGUUUUACUUUUACUUUACUUU